AUUGAACGCUGGCGGCAUGCUUUACACAUGCAAGUCGAACGGUAACAGGCCGCAAGGUGCUGACGAGUGGCGAACGGGUGAGUAAUGCAUCGGAACGUGCCCAGUCGUGGGGGAUAACUACUCGAAAGAGUAGCUAGUACCGCAUACGAUCUAUGGAUGAAAGCGGGGCACCGUAAGGCCUCGCGCGAUUGGAGCGGCCGAUGUCAGAUUAGGUAGUUGGUGGGGUAAAGGCUCACCAAGCCAACGAUCUGUAGCUGGUCUGAGAGGACAACCAGCCACACUGGGACUGAGACACGGCCCAGACUCCUACGGGAGGCAGCAGUGGGGAAUUUUGGACAAUGGGCGCAAGCCUGAUCCAGCAAUGCCGCGUGCAGGAAGAAGGCCUUCGGGUUGUAAACUGCUUUUGUACGGAACGAAACGGCUCUGGUUAAUACCCGGGGCUAAUGACGGUACCGUAAGAAUAAGCACCGGCUAACUACGUG
rnacentral:rRNA from 1 species